rnacentral:ncRNA from 2 species
UUCUUAUCCAGAGUGGUGGAGGGACUGGCCCUAUGAAACCCGGCAACCUGUCAAUUUAAUUUGAUGAGGUGCUAAAUCCAACACAAUCUUCAUAGAUUGUGAUAGAUGAGAG